AAGAAACUUAUUUCAUCAAGCUACACUUAAAUAUACAAUUUAAUAUGAACGCAAACAAGAAAACAAUAGUUCAUCAUCCAUAUCACUAGUGAAAGAAAACCUCCCAAUCAAAAACAGAAAAACCAUCAAAACGUAUGCAUAAAAACUCAUGGGCUUAAGAAAUGUACAAAAGAAUUCACCAAAGAAAUCCUGAACAGAAAACUAGAAAUGAAAUCAUAAUCAAUCCAGCCCUAAAAAAAACCCCUGCAAAAUCAAGAA
rnacentral:misc_RNA from 1 species